GGAGCCGCUCUGAGGGCGGCGGGGGAGCUCCCUGGCCCCGGCCCGAGCCCUCCCGGCCCCGGGGGAUCCCGGCUUGGCGCCGGGACAGGGCAGGGCCGGUCCCCGCCGCAGUCUCGCCGCUCGGGAUGRCCGGUGUGAAGAGUCUGGGCGAGCAACCAAAAGAAACGGGGAGAGCCGCUGCGUCCCAAGGGCUGCUUUAAAGCCCAGGCAAAGUGAGCUGAGAGUAUUGCUGGCGGUUGAAURAAACAAAAGCGUCCGCUGGAUGCUACUGGAAAAGCGCUAGACUCCCUWCCUUAAAAAAUUCAUCAUGUUCUCCUCUCGCCAGCUCUUGGCCAAAAGGGAGAGGAGGAAUUGUAAACCGGGAGAAGCAGCAGRCUUGAACUGAAAUGGCCUUUGGGUCUCGAUUUACAGGGAUAUCGGAAGCCGCAGCAAUGAAAAAAAGAAGGAGCGAAACGUUUUGUUAUAUAGAAAAAGGAAUCAACCGAAUGAUCUGUGCUGCGGAAGGCAGAUCUAGAAAGUGAUGUUCUGAGGGUCCCUCUGGCAGAUCCUGCUCGUGUUUCACACUCCAGCACUGYCAGCCCAUGUUCCACCAAGGAGUUUGGCACACUCUGUUCUGAAGUGCUCACACAGGCACUUGCAGGCACAAGACAUGAAGGAGAGGGAAUGCCAGCAACCUAUGCUGUCGACUUUGCAAGUCAUUAACAGUCUGGAAAGAGACUGAGACACAMUGUCAACCUGAGCAGAACAUCUCAGAGAGGCACAGAGACAGACCAAAAUGGAAAGACUUGGGGUGCAACWCCCCAGCUCUCCCUUCUGAGAAGCACUGAGUGCUGGCAGCCCGAAGAAUGGRGUUAUGGACUGAAAUUAAAGGCAUAAGGCUGGAAGGAGGCAAGUAAUGUGACUGCAGGGUUUGAAGACACAUGCUGUAACAGAAGUGGACAGAAAUAUUUAAAGGCAAACCCCUUCUGAUCCUGAAGUGAAGGUACAGCGCUAAUUGAGCAUAACUGUCAUGAACUAGGRGGCCAUGGAAUUCUGUCWCUUUCUUUYGCUGACUUCCUCAGAGCUGGUGUCAUCAGUCUGGCARCCUGGU